rnacentral:rRNA from 1 species
CCUACGGGAGGCAGCAGUAGGGAAUCUUCGGCAAUGGACGAAAGUCUGACCGAGCAACGCCGCGUGAGUGAAGAAGGUUUUCGGAUCGUAAAACUCUGUUGGUAGAGAAGAACGUUGGUGAGAGUGGAAAGCUCAUCAAGUGACGGUAACUACCCAGAAAGGGACGGCUAACUACGUGCCAGCAGCCGCGGUAAUACGUAGGUCCCGAGCGUUGUCCGGAUUUAUUGGGCGUAAAGCGAGCGCAGGUGGUUUAUUAAGUCUGGUGUAAAAGGCAGUGGCUCAACCAUUGUAUGCAUUGGAAACUGGUAGACUUGAGUGCAGGAGAGGAGAGUGGAAUUCCAUGUGUAGCGGUGAAAUGCGUAGAUAUAUGGAGGAACACCGGUGGCGAAAGCGGCUCUCUGGCCUGUAACUGACACUGAGGCUCGAAAGCGUGGGGAGCAAACAGGAUUAGAUACCCUGGUAGUCCACGCCGUAAACGAUGAGUGCUAGAUGUAGGGAGCUAUAAGUUACUCUGUAUCGCAGCUAACGACAAUAAGACACUCCGCCCGUCGGGGUAGGUACGGACCCGACCGAAGGUUAGUAAACGUACGAAAGGAAAGUUAGUACGGCGUGAGACGUUAGCCGACGGACGACGACGAGGGGAGGUAGGG